rnacentral:rRNA from 1 species
AGGACUAACGCUGGCGGCGUGCCUAACACAUGCAAGUCGAACGAGGGGUAGCAAUACCCCUAGUGGCAGACGGGUGAGUAACACGUAGUCAACCUACCUCUUAAUGGGGGAUAACUAGCCGAAAGGUUAGCUAAUACCGCAUACGAUCGUCGAGUGGCAUCACACGACGAUGAAAGGAGCAAUCCGUUGAGAGAGGGGACUGCGUCCCAUUAGUUAGUUGGUGGGGUAAUGGCCUACCAAGACUCCGAUGGGUAGCUGGCUUGAGAGAGCGACCAGCCACACUGGAACUGAGACACGGUCCAGACUCCUACGGGAGGCAGCAGUGAGGAAUUUUCCGCAAUGGGGGAAACCCUGACGGAGCGACGCCGCGUGUGGGAAGAAGGCCUUCGGGUCGUAAACCGACUGGUCGAGGGGGACGAUAUUGACGGUACCCCUGGAGGAAGCCCCGGCUAACUACGCGCCAGCAGCCGC